AUUGAACGCUGGCGGCAGGCCUAACACAUGCAAGUCGAACGAGUGGCGGACGGGUGAGUAAUGUCUGGGAAACUGCCUGAUGGAGGGGGAUAACUACUGGAAACGGUAGCUAAUACCGCAUACCAUCGGAUGUGCCCAGAUGGGAUUAGCUAGUAGGUGGGGUAAAGGCUCACCUAGGCGACGAUCCCUAGCUGGUCUGAGAGGAUGACCGGCAAACCUGGAACUGAGAACCGGUCCAGACUCCUCGGGGAGGCAGCAGUGGGGAAUAUUGGACAAUGGGCGAAAGCCUGAUGCAGCCAUGCCGCGUGUAGGAAGAAGGCCUGCGGGUUGUAAAGUACUUUCAGCGGGGAGGCGUUACCCACAGAAGAAGCAACGGCUAACUCCGUGCCAGCAGCCGCGGUAAUAC
rnacentral:rRNA from 1 species